UAAGGCAGGAGAAGGAGAGGGUUAGUCAGUUUGGUGGUGGGGAGGCUGUAGGGAGAGCUCUCCCUCCCGCGCUGGGCUGGUGGCCAGGGUCCCGGAGGCUCCCAGGCUGGGCGGGAGCAGGGGCUGGAGUCUUUCUCCAGCCAGGGCUGCUCCAGGACCACUUGGACCAAGUCGGUGCUUCCCUUAUCAUCCCCCUCUUCUCUUUCUUCACCCCCUGAAAGCUUCUCCUGGGUGCCAAAACCAGGGCGGCAGCUUCACUGCCAACUGGAGCAGUGUGCGUGGAGAAAGAAAUACCCGAACAAAACACGUUUCCAACUGACAUCUUCCCUGGGCGUUUCGCAUUCCAGCAGGGCGAAAUUGCUAGGAACGGGGCCGAUCUGCGUUGCAGGGGGAGAUUUCUGUGGCUACGGAGCGAUUUCCAAGCGCAAUGGGACUGGCCGGCGUUCCCAGCCCCCACAGUGCCACGUUGGAGAUCCUACAGCGGUGGGAUGGGGAAGAGGACCGGGAAGGGGGAGCGAUACUGGGAGUUGCCUUCUUCCGUCUUCUCCGCUCCUGUAAUGAGAGGGCCCAGCUGCCAAAAGACACAUCCACUUCUCCAGCCACGACUCCUCCCCUUCCAGCCGCCCAGCUUUCAAAGGCAGGACAAAACUUGCAUUUCUUUUGUGGAGAGUUAUUUCCAGCGCGGGUUUUGCUCCCCGGGGAGCCAAUUUUAGGGGGCUGCGGAUCUACCGAGCUGUAACACACUUUAAUUAAAAAAAAAAAAAAACGCCACCCCGAACAGUCUGUGAUACGGGUCCGAUCCUACACGCCCCGGCAAAAGGAGCCGAGAUUUGCAGCCUGUUGUGGCAGCGCCUGGGCCGGGUGCAGGGGAGCUGCUGGGGUGGAGGACAGUGAAAUCCGACUGGUAUUGGGAAUCCUACACCCAGCCCUGCGGUAAACAGCCCCUGCCCAGCUGUAAAACAUCUGGACCGAUGCUGUC